UACUCCGCCCCACGGGGAAGGAUGGGAAGCUUCGGUCAAGGUUCGACUCGAGCGAAGCGAGAGAACGUUGCCGCAGGCACCGGCCCGACGGGCGAGGCGCUUUAGCGGCGAGUAAUCCUUCCCCCACCGCCA
rnacentral:sRNA from 1 species